rnacentral:rRNA from 1 species
CAGCAGCCGCGGUAAUACGCAGGGUGCGAGCGUUAAUCGGAAUUACUGGGCGUAAAGCGUGCGCAGGCGGUUAUAUAAGACAGAUGUGAAAUCCCCGGGUUCAACCUGGGACCUGCAUUUGUGACUGUAUAGCUAGAGUACAGUAGAGGGGGAUGGAAUUCCGCGUGUAGCAGUGAAAUGCGUAGAUAUGCGGAGGAACACCGAUGGCGAAGGCAAUCCCCUGGACCUGUACUGACGCUCAUGCACGAAAGCGUGGGGAGCAAACAGGAUUAGAGACCCCUGUAGUCCCUGUCUCUUAUAA